GUUACACUCACACUGAUGAUGUAUUAAUACUAGAGACAGAGAUCACAAAUGUGCUUUGAUUCACUUGUUUUUCUAAAUAAAUGCUGAGAAUUCAUGUUUUGCAUGUAAUUUAAUAUUACAUAUCAAUAAAUCACAAGGAUUCAUUUAAUAAGUGAUUCGUAUUAAAGUUAUUAUACUUAUUAUAAUUACCAAUUAUUGAAAAACUUAAAAUGUAAUUACCUAGAACAGAUGUUUCUUUAGUACUUCUUGAAUUGUUAAAAAAAUACUAAAUUCUAUAAAUAAAGUUAAUGUAACCUAA